rnacentral:hammerhead_ribozyme from 1 species
AUCCAGAUGACGAGUCGCAAAUAGGACGAAAUGCGCAUCAAGCUGGAU